ACGUAGGUGGCAAGCGUUGUCCGGAUUUAUUGGGCGUAGAGCGAGCGCAGGCGGUUUCUUAAGUCUGAUGUGAAAGCCUUCGGCUCAACCGAAGAAGUGCAUCGGAAACUGGGAAACUUGAGUGCAGAAGAGGACAGUGGAACUCCAUGUAUGGCGGUGGAAUGCGUAGAUACAGGGAAGGACGCCAGAGACGAAGGAGGCUAACCGGUCUGUAACUGACGCUUAGGCUCGAAAGCAUGGGUAGCAAUAAG
rnacentral:rRNA from 1 species